UCCAGGGUAGCCUAGUGGACAUGGCAUCUGCCCGGUAAGCGGAACAUUGUGGGUUCGAUUCCGUGUGGAA